rnacentral:misc_RNA from 1 species
AGUCGUAACAAGGUCUCCGUUGGUGAACCAGCGGAGGGAUCAUUACCGAGUUAUACAACUCAUCAACCCUGUGAACAUACCUAAAACGUUGCUUCGGCGGGAACAGACGGCCCUGUAACAACGGGCCGCCCCCGCCAGAGGACCCCUAACUCUGUUUUUAUAAUGUUUUUCUGAGUAAACAAGCAAAUAAAUUAAAACUUUCAACAACGGAUCUCUUGGCUCUGGCAUCGAUGAAGAACGCAGCGAAAUGCGAUAAGUAAUGUGAAUUGCAGAAUUCAGUGAAUCAUCGAAUCUUUGAACGCACAUUGCGCCCGCCAGUAUUCUGGCGGGCAUGCCUGUUCGAGCGUCAUUACAACCCUCAGGCCCCCGGGCCUGGCGUUGGGGAUCGGCGGAAGCCCCCUGUGGGCACACGCCGUCCCUCAAAUACAGUGGCGGUCCCGCCGCAGCUUCCAUUGCGUAGUAGCUAACACCUCGCAACUGGAGAGCGGCGCGGCCAUGCCGUAAAACACCCAACUUCUGAAUGUUGACCUCGAAUCAGGUAGGAAUACCCGCUGAACCUAAGCAUAUCA